UACGAAGGGGGCUAGCGUUGCUCGGAAUCACUGGGCGUAAAGGGUGCGUAGGCGGGUUUUAAGUCAGAGGUGAAAUCCUGGAGCUCAACUCCAGAACUGCCUUUGAUACUGAAAGUCUUGAGUAUGGGAGAGGUGAGUGGAACUGCGAGUGUAGAGGUGAAAUUCGUAGAUUGUCAAGAACACCAGUGGCGAAGGCGGCUCACUGGCCCAUAACUGACGCUGAGGCACGAAAGCGUGGGAGCAAACAGG
rnacentral:rRNA from 1 species